AUGCUUCAGUCGACACUCUCAGAGAGUGUUGUGUCUGAUGACUCAGUUUUUCUUGCUGGUUUUGGUGGUGGUGGUAGUUUUUUCCUUUGUCUCAUGGAGAAGAGUUAUUCCAGUUUCUCAUGUGUCAUUGCUAAAAUACUUCUAGUGGGUAGGGAUUCUCUUCUGUGGAAAAUUACCAUGAGAGAGUCCCAAUAUCUGAGUGAUAGCCUCUUCCCGGCUCUACUAUACUAUAUUAAUCGGAAUGAUAACAAUAUGUCUGAAAUAUUCUGA